rnacentral:rRNA from 1 species
CAAGAGCGUAUAUUAAAGUUGUUGCAGUUAAAAGCUCGUAGUUGGAUUUCUGGUACAACGCGCCUGGCCCGCUUUUGUGAGUGCCGGUGCGCUGUUUGCCAUCCUUCUAGAAAACGUCUCUACUACGGGCAACUGGGCCGGAUUCGCGAUCUAGAUCUUUUACUUUGAAAAAUUUAUGAAGUGUUUAAAGCAUGGCUAUUGCCUUGAAUACAUUAGCAUGGAAUAAUAAUCUAGGACUUCGGUUCUAUUUUGUUGGUUCUUAGUACUGAAGUAAUGAUUGAUAGGGAUAGUUGGGGGUGCUAGUAUUGGCCGGCCAGAGGUGAAAUUCUUGGAUUCGGUCAAGACUAACUUAUGCGAAAGCAUUCACCAAGGAUGUCUUCUUUAAUCAAGAACGAAAGUUGGGGGAUGCGA